CAGAAAUCAACCGGGAAAGAUUUAAACCAGGAGGCCAAGGAAUUCCUUUUAAAGCAAGCUUCAAUAACAAGUUCUGAUGAAAGUGAAGAAGAUAAGACAGAAAAGGAGAAAACGGACUCGAAAACCGAUCAGAACAAAGAAAACAAAGAGCCGAAACUGGAUGAGGAGGAAAAUAAAGAGACAGAUGAUGAUGAUGAUUCCCUGUGUGAUUUUGACACCAGCCCAAGAAAGAAAAGAAAAUAUCAUAAACUACUGAGGGUAAAGAUAACAGACAGUGAGGAGGAGGAGGAGGAUAAAAGUUCCAAUGAAGCUCCAAAAGAUAAAUCAAAAAUAAAAUCUUCCCAAGCAAAGAGAAGAAUAUUUUCAUCAGAUGAUGAUUUCAAAGAUUCAGAACAUAAAAAAUCAAAUACCUCAGACGGUUCAUCCGUAUACUCGGACGCUGAGAAAACAAAGAAGAGGAAGAGGAAAUCAAGUGACGAUGAAAAACGCGGAGCAAGAAGUUAUCAUAAGCAGCCAA